CCUGAUGGCCCCGAAACGAUACGAAGAGGAUACAGAUUUUUCCAACAGUUGGAAGUUACUUAAUUCGCUAUUCCGUCGAGGACUUGGCCAGCCGAUAGAUCCAGAGACUAAACGAUUUAUCGACAACCUUCGAGGACCGACGACUAGUUCCGGAAACGCUUUGGCGUCAGUGAAAGUUCGACCACAAAACGCGUCUCGUCGACGGAUGGUUUUGCGAAAUGUGCGCCGUUGAAAUGUGUUGGCAAGGCCACUGUGUGAAUCUUCGGAACGACCGGCAUGGCGCUACGUGGCAAGCAACCGUUUAAUAAUUUGUUUUUGUAUCCAAACGAUUGAUUAUUCGUGCCGGCGGAUAUAACGGCUUAUCAGGGCGAAAGUGUUUUUGAGCAAAGGCAACGGUGUGUUCUACGAUCGGGAUAAAUCCGGUUGGACGCAAAUUAAAAACUUCUAGGUGGUGCUAUCUUCGCUGACGAUACAUGAAUAAAUUGUUGAGGAAACUUCCGCCAAGGAUGAAAUCGUCCACGCAUUACAAUGCUGGGUGGUCUGUAAGUUUGCGGCCAACCUCUCGACAAACAAAACAUCCUCUGCAGGAAGUCCACCACAGCCAUGAAUCGACCGCUGGUGCAUCAAAAUGAAUUCGCUGUACGGCUGGUUCCGGUCCGGUGCAAGAUUUUAUUUCCGAUGGAUCUAGAUGGCGUCUUCAUCAAUGUCUCUCGACCCACUAGCUGAGCAAUCGCGCCAAAGUGCUCGGAAGCAAUUUGGAGCGUUUCGACAAGGUUGAAACUAAGCGGUUCUACAUUUCCCAAGGGUCGUUCCUCGUGCAGAGAGUGCGGUUCGAAGGGAGCCGAGAAGCAACUUGAAGCUGGUUUUUGGGAAGGCCUUCGGCAGCCGGAUCCUGUGGGCCUGAAGCAAAACCAGCAAGAUCUACUCGUCGGCGCAGCAGUUCAAAGCUCCCAAAGAACCGAACCUGGUCUACCGGCAGUAGAGUAAGAAAUCAUAAUUUGCAACAUUUCGACAUUCAUUAAAAUUUCAUAGUCAUAGCUUUUCAUAGUAUGACCUGGUAACAUUGACUUUACAAUCAUUAAAUAAAGCGUUUUUCAUCGAUAA